AUUCCAGUACCCGUUUACAUUGUUCCAGUAGCAAUUUCAGCGUUGGAUUUGAUCACUGGAUUGGAAUAAUUUAA